rnacentral:rRNA from 1 species
CAACCUGCCGAUGACUCGGGGAUAGCCUUUCGAAAGAAAGAUUAAUACCCGAUGGCAUAAUUCUUCCNCAUGGUAGAAUUAUUAAAGAAUUUCGGUCAUCGAUGGGGAUGCGUUCCAUUAGGUUGUUGGCGGGGUAACGGCCCACCAAGCCUUCGAUGGAUAGGGGUUCUGAGAGGAAGGUCCCCCACAUUGGAACUGAGACACGGUCCAAACUCCUACGGGAGGCAGCAGUGAGGAAUAUUGGUCAAUGGGCGCAGGCCUGAACCAGCCAAGUAGCGUGAAGGAUGACUGCCCUAUGGGUUGUAAACUUCUUUUAUAAAGGAAUAAAGUCGGGUAUGGAUACCCGUUUGCAUGUACUUUAUGAAUAAGGAUCGGCUAACUCCGUGCCAGCAGCCGCGGUAAUACGGAGGAUCCGAGCGUUAUCCGGAUUUAUUGGGUUUAAAGGGAGCGUAGAUGGAUGUUUAAGUCAGUUGUGAAAGUUUGCGGCUCAACCGUAAAAUUGCAGUUGAUACUGGAUAUCUUGAGUGCAGUUGAGGCAGGCGGAAUUCGUGGUGUAGCGGUGAAAUGCUUAGAUAUCACGAAGAACUCCGAUUG